AAGUUUCUUCAACUACAGCGCCGCUCAAAUAGAUGCAGGGUACGCGUGCUAUUCGCCUUCACCAAUAAAGGCUUCGGCUGCCCUUCUGGGAAACUACAUCUUUCCCCUCCAUCGCGAGGUCACCAAAGGUGCCUGCGCAACGUUUCACCACCACUGUGCGUUGUUCCUCCGUCCCAAAGAUCUGCCAGACGCUGCCUCGCAGUACCAUUGCGCGGAGUGAAAAAAAAAAGCAGCAUGCCUCGAGCACGUGCUUCCCCAUCCUUGCUGCGGCUGGUCUACGUGGACGGUGUUUCUAUGUUGGUCUGUUGUUCUUAGCUAGCUUUGUCUGCCGAGUGCUGGCGAAAGGUGCGCAGCCAGCACGGCGCCUUCAGAAGAGCUACCUUUAUCAAAGAAGUGACACCGCCGCUUCCACAGCGUCGAAGCCCACGAGCACAACAUCCACACUGCUGAGUGGAGUGAACUUGAUAUCAACCGCGCGCACAUUGGGUACGGUGCCAGCGAUCCCUGCAAGCACGCAAAGUUUGGCGCCGCCAGGGACGAGGCUGUUCGUUUCUAUCAACGUGGUAAUGCCUGUGCCCAUCACAGCCGUCGUGUACACUGCUCUGCUGUUAGUCGGAAAGCACACUGACGUCGUCGUGGUGUGUGCGUGUGUGCGCGCGCGGUUCUGACUCUUUUCACUGUGUGUGCUGUGGCUUAGCCUAUUGAUCCCUCGUGCCCUGGAUGCUCCUGCUGAGGAGGGGGGACGGUACUGAGCGAGUAGACUUCGAAACGUGAGCAGCAGUGCCCGCUGAGCAAAGCACAUAAGCUUGUCUUUCGCCAUCAAACCAGCGGUGAGGAUGGCGAAGGUGCCGCUAUUCUGCGUGCAUGAGGGGACACCCAGAAGAAGACUGUAUCGCCGACCACUAGCAGCGGGCUUCAGGCACGGUGUGACGUCUUCCUCGGCGUGCACGCCGCGACCUGGUGCGCAGCGUCGCUCUAGGGUAACAUGGGCGUUGCCUCUCUGAGCCUAGCUGCAGCAAUGACGGAGGUGCCGACAGCGGCGGCAGGCGUCAUCGUGACACCAUCGCGCACCCCCCCCCCCGCGCGCAGUGACGAGCCAGAAUAGCCGCCUUGCAGUUGCAUUGGGUAGUGACAUCAUGCAGGGGAGUGUUACAGGCAGCUGGAAAGGGUAGGUGUCGCGCACCACGGCCGACCUGAGCUGCUCGCUCUGGUUCUCCAACGCAACGGUCAGCGAGGCUUCUCUUCGGGGGAGGGGAGAGUUUUGGGGUGUGGAGGGAGUCGUAGAGAGCACGUCGAGCUAGAGUCGGGGUGUUGCUGUCUUUGGCCGCCGCGGUACCAAAGGUUGUGUUUAGUCUUUCAAGUUCCCUCCUCACUGACGGGUAUAGUCGUACCGCGGCUGCCUGAAAGCAUGGCGCUGAACCUGUUUGAAUCUUCUCUAUAUGCGUGCGUGCGUGCGACGCCAGCCAUGCGACUACCUUUCUCGCUAUCUGGCCCUCACUUGAUUGUUUCUGUUUGGCAUCGCUGUCUCUUGCGUACUGGCGCGUAGUGGGGGGGGUGUUUCCAGUUCGAUUCCUGCCGCUUUCGACUCAGGGACCCUCUGCCGCUGCGCCAAGUACUCCUUUACUGCCUUUUUUUCUCUUCUGCAUCACCGCUUGCUGCUUUGUGGUCGCAUGCAUGUCUCAUCGCUUGUGCGGCGAAGUGCUGCUCUCCUGUCCGCUCUCCUUUCAAGCGUUUUCUCUCUUGAUUGGUUGUGCUCGGUUGCCGAUUUACUUGUGGAUAUUCCUGAGUCUUUUCAGCCAUGGCCAGCCUGACGUGUGUCUCUUAAGCGCGUUCUUUGUGGGAUACCGAUAAGGACCGCACAGCUAAGCGGAAAGACUGCAACUUAAUACCAACGAAUAAAUCAUCGCUCGUUUAUGUUUUCUAUACUCGCAUUGCUCUCCUGUCUGUGCCGCGUGCGCGAUACCGUCCAAACGUAGGCGUUUUCCUUCUUGUAUUGCUUUCCUUUUUUUUUCUCUCGCACACUAAUCGCACGAUUUCGCUUUUCUUCCCCCCCCCCUCCCCCGUGCUGUGCUGCCUCCAUCUUCACUAGCACUCGCGCG
rnacentral:misc_RNA from 1 species